AUGCUGCCGGCGGACUGCUCGCGCCGGUGAGGCCUGCGCGGCAGGAGGGGGCGGGAGGAUGCGGGCGGGCCGGUAGCCAGGCGCGGGGCCCGAGGCCCGACGCUGGCCGAGGUGCUGAGCCGCCGGUGCGUCCCCCAGGCUGGUGGCCGAGCUGCAGGGAGCCCUGGACGCCUGCGCACAGCGACAAUUGCAAUUGGAGCAGAGCCUGCGCGUUUGCCGUCGGCUGCUGCAUGCCUGGUACGCGGACCCCGGGACCCACUGGCCAGACCUCCCUCGGGCCCUCAGAGUCCCGCCCCGAGCGCCCAGGGCUGGGAGACCGGGCGCAGCCGCCCACUUCGGAGCUGUAGGUUGUCAGUGCCACCCUCCUUACCCUGCAGGCUCUGAGCUGGGGGCCUGCCGCGGGGCCCGGCGGCCCCCUCGGGUCUGUUUGGGCUGGGCCCUGCCUCCUGGCCGUGCGACGGCUGCCCAUGUCUUUGCAGGGAACCAACUGGGACCCGGGCUUUGAAGCCACGUCCAGGGCCAGAAACUAAUGAAGAGGACCCCCUUCCAGCAUGCACACCUAGUCCACAAGACCUCAAAGAGUUGGAGUUUCUGACCCAGGCACUGGAGAAGGCUGUACGAGUUCGAAGAGGCAUCACUAAGGCUGGAGAAAGAGACAAGGCCCCCAGCCUGAAAUCUAGGCCCAUUGUCACCUCUUCUGGCACGACAGUCUCCGCCCCACCCCAUUCCCCAGGCCAAGCUGGUGGCCAUGCUUCAGACAGGAGACCCACCAAGGGCCUCUGCCAGACCACGGUGCCUGCCAAGGGCCACCCUGAGCGCCGGCUGCUGUCAGUGGGGGAUAGGACCCGUGUUGGGAUGGGAGCCCGAACCCCCAGGCCUGGGGCGGGCCUCAGGGACCAGCAAAUGGCCCCAUCCGCUGCUCCUCAGGCCCCAGAAGCCUUCACACUCAAGGAGAAGGGGCACCUGCUGCGGCUGCCUGCGGCAUUCAGGAAAGCAGCUUCCCAGAACUCGAGCCUGUGGGCCCAGCUCAGUU
rnacentral:sRNA from 1 species